AGACCUCAAGGCAGAAGACACUGAACAAACCUCUGAACUGAUGAAGCUGUGGAGAAAAGUGAACAUGACCGAGAGCCUCCAGGACAAGCUAAACACAGAGUUGGUGAGCAGACUGAGAGGUUUUGAGGAACAUCUGAAAGGUCAGAAGACAAAAAUCUCA